rnacentral:rRNA from 1 species
UUCCGGUUGAUCCCGCCGGACCUGACUGCUAUCGGAUUGGUACUAAGCCAUGCGAGUCGUUGUAGCAAUACAAGGCAGACUGCUCAGUAACACGUAGUUAACCUAACCUAUGGACAGGGAUAACCUCGGGAAACUGAGAAUAAUCCCCGAUAGAUCACGGUGCCUGGAAUGGCCUGUGGUCCAAAUGAUUUAUCGCCGUAGGAUGGGACUGCGGCCUAUCAGCUAGUUGGUGAGGUAAUGGCCCACCAAGGCUAUAACAGGUACGGGCUCUGAGAGGAGGGGCCCGGAGAUGGGUACUGAGACACGGACCCAGGCCCUAUGGGGCGCAGCAGGCGAGAAACCUUUGCAAUGUGCGAAAGCACGACAAGGUUAAUCCGAGUGUCUCCUGCUAAAGGAGUCUUUUGCCAGUCCUAGAAACACUGGUGAAUAAGGGGUGGGCAAGUUCUGGUGUCAGCCGCCGCGGUAAUACCAGC